rnacentral:pre_miRNA from 1 species
CCCAAGUGCAAUUUUGUACGGUUUAUAUUCAAAGUUUAACUUUGACCGUUCGUCAAUAUAAUAUUUUAUUGUUAUUGGAUGAUAAAAUAUGAAUAAUACUUUAUGUGUGACUAUUUUUUAUUUUUUCAUAAAUUUUUUAAAUAAGAUAGAUGGUCAAAUAUUGAACACGUAUAUCCACGGCUGUACUUAUU